rfam:Lupinus angustifolius cultivar Tanjil contig_40410, whole genome shotgun sequence.
AAUCCAUGAUUUGGGCACUUUCUUAGCAUAGAUUUGAAUCUAUCCCAAGAUUCACAUAGACUUUCACCAACAGGUUGAACAAAGGUGGAUAUAGCUCUCUUCAUAUC